GAAUAUUGGACAAUGGGGGGAACCCUGAUCCACCCAUGCCUCGUGUGAGAAGAAGGCCUUUUGUUUGUAAAGCACUUUAUUCGUUGACGAUGCUACCCACCUUUAUACUCUCUGUUUGUGGUCGUUUUCCGCAGUAUAAGCACCGGCUUACCCUGUGCCAGCAGCCGCGGUAAUACAGAGGGUGCAAGCGUUAAUCGGAUUUACUGGGCGUAAAGCGCGCGUAGGUGGCCAAUUAAGUCAAAUGUGAAAUCCCCGAGCUUAACUUGGGAAUUGCAUUCGAUACUGGUUGGCUAGAGUAUGGGAGAGGAUGGUAGAAUUCCAGGUGUAGCGGUGAAAUGCGUAGAGAUCUGGAGGAAUACCGAUGGCGAAGGCAGCCAUCUGGCCUAAUACUGACACUGAGGUGCGAAAGCAUGGGGAGCAAACA
rnacentral:rRNA from 1 species